AAAUGACACACACACCACUGCAACAGGUUCACUGGAACCUGUGGAGCCGUCACCAAAACAUGCUGUGCUCCAAAGCACUCAAGUCCCUUUGCAGGGGAAAAGACAAAGAAUACAACUCAAGCAAUGAACAGUUCAAGAAGGAGCAGCUUUUACAAAGAAAACUUUGAUCUGGAUGGCUGAGUAUCACUGCAAGAAAUCCAGUCUGCUUAGCAAUCUCAGACAAGUUGUCAUGCAAUUGCACAGCAGUUUACUGCAAGAUGUCAGUACCAGCCAUAUCCCUGUUACCCCUGUAACACAUACUACUGUUAAAUUAUUUCAUUUGGGCCUUUUAUAAUGCCACCUGCAAAACUGGAGAGAAGAAAGAAGAGUUUACCCAUUAUAAAUAUCCCCAGUAGAGGCAAGGGGGACAAAGGCGAUUACUAAAGGUGCUGUCUUCUGCAGUGCAAAGAAGUGGGAAAAAACUAUUGAAUACCUUGUGCCUGAGCUGCAGAACUGUGGGAAUACCCCAGAGCCAGGAGCGCUGUCUCCACCAGCUGGCUAAAGAGCACAUCUUUGCGAACCAGAACGAACUCAGCAUGC